rnacentral:rRNA from 1 species
GAUGAACGCUAGCGGGAGGCUUAACACAUGCAAGUCGAGGGGUAUAGUAGCAAUACUAGAGACCGGCGGACGGGUGCGUAACGCGUAUGCAACUUGCCUUAUACAGGGGGAUAGCCCGUGCAAACGCGGAUUAAUACCCCAUAUGUCAUUUGGGUCGCAUGGUCUGGAUGAUAAAGCUGAGGUGGUAUAAGAUGGGCAUGCGUCUGAUUAGCUGGUUGGUAGGGUAACGGCCUACCAAGGCGACGAUCAGUAGGGGUUCUGAGAGGAUACUCCCCCACACUGGUACUGAGGCACGGACCAGAAUCCUACGGGAGGCAGCAGUGAGGAAGAGUGGUCAAUGGGCGAGAGCCUGAACCAGCCAUUCCGCGUGAAGGAAGAAGGCGCUAUGCGUUGUAACUUCUUUUCCAGGGGAAUAAAAUUUUGUACGUGUACGGAAUUGAAGGUACCCUGGGAAUAAGCAUCGGCUAACUCCGUGCCAGCCGCCGCCGUAACAC